rnacentral:rRNA from 1 species
AUUGAACGCUGGCGGCAGGCCUAACACAUGCAAGUCGAACGAGUGGCGGACGGGUGAGUAAUGUCUGGGACACUGCCUGAUGGAGGGGGAUAACUACUGGAAACGGUAGCUAAUACCGCAUACCAUCGGAUGUGCACAGAUGGGAUUAGCUAGUAGGUGGGGUAAAGGCUCACCUAGGCGACGAUCCCUAGCUGGUCUGAGAGGAUGACGAGCAACAAUGGAACUGAGACACGGUCCAGACGCCUACGGGAGGCAGCAGUGGGGAAUAUUGCACAAUGGGCGAAAGCCUGAUGCAGCCAGGCCGCGUGUAGGAAGAAGGCCUUCGGGUUGUAAAGUACUUUCAGCGGGGAGGCGUUACCCGCAGAAGAAGCACCGGCUAACUCCGUGCCAGCAGCCGCGGUAAUUC